rnacentral:misc_RNA from 1 species
GUACCUUCAAGCCUUGCUUGGUGUUGGGCGUCUGUCCCGCCUCCGUGCGCGGACUCGCCUCAAAGUCAUUGGCAGCGGUCUCGUCGGCUUCUCGCGCAGCACAUUUGCGCUUCUCGGAGCCCCGGCGGAUCAGCGUCCAGCAAGCAAUUUCAUG